AGAACGAACGCUGGCGGCAUGCCUAACACAUGCAAGUCGAACGCUCUUGAGGCUUCGGUUUCAAGGGAGUGGCGCACGGGUGAGUAGCGCGUGGGAACCUGCCCUGUUGUGGGGGAUAACCGAGGGAAACUUCGGCUAAUACCGCAUAAGCCGGGAAACCGGGAAAGAUUUAUCGCGACAGGAGGGGCCCGCGUCGGAUUAGCUAGUUGGCGGGGUAACGGCCCACCAAGGCAGUGAUCCGUAGCUGGUCUGAGAGGAUGAUCAGCCACACUGGGACUGAGACACGGCCCAGACUCCUACGGGAGGCAGCAGUGGGGAAUAUUGGACAAUGGGCGCAAGCCUGAUCCAGCAAUGCCGCGUGAGUGAUGAAGGCCUUAGGGUUGUAAAGCUCUUUCGCCCGCGACGAUGAUGACGGUAGCGGAGAAGAAGCCCGCUACUCGCGCCAGCAGCCGC
rnacentral:rRNA from 1 species